UACAGAGGUCUCAAGCGUUGUUCGGAUUCAUUGGGCGUAAAGGGUGCGUAGGCGGUCCUUUAAGUCUGAUGUGAAAGCCCACGGCUCAACCGUGGAGGGUCAUUGGAAACUGGGGGACUUGAGUGCAGGAGAGAAGAGUGGAAUUCCACGUGUAGCGGUGAAAUGCGUAGAGAUGUGGAGGAACACCGGUGGCGAAGGCGGCCUGCUGGGCAGUUGCUGACACUGAGGCGCGACAGCGUGGGGAGCAAACGGG
rnacentral:rRNA from 1 species